rnacentral:lncRNA from 1 species
GGGGUAUAUAGCUUUGUCUCGUUCCUUUAAGUUGCGGAACGCGUUCCACUUUCUAAAGGAACGUGUUUGGGACGUAGUGGUUGGCUCAGGUAGUUUUACGUGUUGUUUUGAACCAAAUGAGUUCGAUUCCUAGCGUGAUAUAAUUUACUAUUGUAUUUUUGUUUCAUUUAGGGCUGUCCAACUCCAACCUUAAGGCUCAUUGCAGGUCUAGGCCAAUGAGUCAAUCACCAUCUAGAUUUUUCGCCGACCGCUCACGGACGGGCACGGCGCAGUAUGCACACACACCACGAAGUUUCAUAGUCGCUUGGGACUGACGUUCCUAUGAUUGCUCCUAUAUAUGAUUCGUGUUCCACCGCAUUUGGGAACGAUGUUCCAUGAUGUUCCCGUUCCACGUUUCGGGACGAAGUUCUCGGAACGGGGAACGUGCCCAUGUUCCCGUACCCCGGCUGCU